CAGCAGCCGCGGUAAUACGUAGGUGGCAAGCGUUGUCCGGAAUUAUUGGGCGUAGAGCGCAUGUAGGCGGUAAUUUAAGCGGUCUGUCGUGAAACUGGGCUCAGCCCCGUAUGGCGAUGGAAACUGGGUUACUUGAGCGCAGGAGAGGAAAGGGGAACUCCCAGUGUAGCGGUGAAAUGCGUAGAUAUUGGGAAGAACACCGGUGGCGAAGGCGCCUUUCUGGACUGUGUCUGACGCUGAGAUGCGAAAGCCAGGGUAGCGAACGGGAUUAGAUACCCCGGUAGUCCUGGCCGUAAACGAUGGGUACUAGGUGUGGGAGGUAUCGACCCCUUCCGUGCCGGAGUUAACGCAAUAGGUACCCCGCCUGGGGAGUACGGCCGCAAGGCUUAAACUCAAAUAAAUUGACGG
rnacentral:rRNA from 1 species